AACCUCCAUAUGCCAUGAGUGCAGCCCCCAAAAAUAAAAAUAAUAAUAAAUACAAAAUAGGAACUGCCAUUUUCCUAUUUUCUCAUUAAAAAUAGAGACUUGUGAGGUGGCAUUCCGGAAUUUUGAUGUAUAUAAUGGGGAAUACUUUUAGCUCUUGUCUUGUCUAUCUGGGUUGGAUUAUAUGGUUUUGCCUGAAAAGAGCAGAAACUCUUAUGGUGGCUCUUAACAUUUUUGAGGCUAUCAUGAGGGAUUUGGUUGAGGGAUUCUCCUUUGAGAAUCUGAAAUCUAUGGUUCUUUCCCUAGAAAAAUGCACUUACAUGCUGGCAUUUUUCAGGGUGUUGACAGUGCUAAAGCCUAUCUAGAAAUCUCUGAUUUCUGCUCUCAUUCUUUUUUUUUUUCUUUCCAAUACUGAAAUUCCUUCAUUUGCUCUGAGGGGUAAUACCCACUGUGGAGCAGUUACAGAAAGAAUGGGAUUAGCAAAUGUCCCCUGAGUGCCCAUGAUAAUUUGUAGAUGUCUAGUAAAUGCUCCAUACGUGUUAGCUUGGUUGAGUCCAGUUAAAAAGAAGACUGAUAGCUGAAAUAUAGCUGAAAUCGACAGAAAUGCUGAUAACCAGUCUAUUCCUCUAAUGCCAAAAAUCAGUGAAUUUCCUGUAUCAUUUCUCUCUGGCUGCUUUCAAGAUUUUUUUUCUCCAUUCUUAGUUUUUAGAAGGUGAUCUAUGAUGUGUCUUGGCAUAAGUAUUUUUGGAUUUAUUCUGUUUGAAGUUCCUUCAGCUUGAACCUAUAUAUUUGUGUCUUUUCCCACAUUUAGGUAAUUUCCAGCCAUUAUUUUUUCAAUCCUAUUGACUACUUUCUUUCUUGGAAUUCCUGCCUUAUUACUGCCAGAUAGAGCAUUGAAAGUGCAAGUGGCCAAGUGGCAGCUUGUUGAAAAACUAAUGUGGUACCACAUGUACCAACUGUGAAGAACAAGCCAGGCCCAGGAAAUCUCAGAAGCUAUACAUCACAUGCACCUUUACCCUCUAAGGCUUUCUAAGCUCAACAGAAGCUUGUCAAAUUCCAUUUUCAACCUGAAUGUAGGAAAGUUUUCCCCUCAUCAUCAUAGGCUUACAAACUGAUAAAACUCAAAGGCAUCUGUGAAGAAAAGAAAAUGCGGCUUCCCUAAAGUUUCCUCAAGCCUUCCUUUUUGUACCUGAGUCCCUUGAAGAAAAGAAAAAGAGAGAGAAAAUAAUUGAAUCUAGGAGCUGGGAAUUCCUGUUGUGGCUCAGUGGGUUAAGA